GUGUCAGCAGCCGCGGUAAUACGUAGGUGGCAAGCGUUGUCCGGAAUCACUGGGCGUAAAGCGCGCGCAGGCGGCAAUCUACGUCUGGGGUGAAAGCCCGGGGCUCAACCUCGGGACUGCCUUGGAUACGGGAUUGCUUGAGGAUCGGAGAGGCAAGGGGAAUUCCACGUGUAGCGGUGAAAUGCGUAGAUAUGUGGAGGAACACCAGUGGCGAAGGCGCCUUGCUGGCCGAUUUCUGACGCUGAGGCGCGAAAGCGUGGGGAGCAAACAGGAUUAGAAACCCUGGUAGUCC
rnacentral:rRNA from 1 species